GACGAACGCUGGCGGCGUGCCUAACACAUGCAAGUCGAACGAGAUCCAUGGGAGCUUGCUCCCGGAAGAUCUAGUGGCGAACGGGUGAGUAACACGUGAGAAACCUGCCCUGGAGUGGGGAAUAACUCGGGGAAACUCGAGCUAAUACCGCAUACCCUCGGAUGGUCGCAUGGCCGACCGAGGAAAGAUUUAUCGCUCUAGGAGGGUCUCGCGGCCUAUCAGCUAGUUGGUGGGUAACGGCCUACCAAGGCAACGACGGGUAGCUGGUUUGAGAGAACGAUCAGCCACACUGGGACUGAGACACGGCCCAGACUCCUACGGGAGGCAGCAGUGGGGAAUCUUGCGCAAUGGGCGAAAGCCUGACGCAGCAACGCCGCGUGCGGGAUGAAGGCCUUCGGUU
rnacentral:rRNA from 1 species